rnacentral:rRNA from 1 species
GACGAACGCUGGCGGCGUGCUUAACACAUGCCAGUCGAACGGAAAGGCCCUGCUUUUGUGGGGUGCUCGAGUGGCGAACGGGCGAGUAACACGUGAGUAACCUGCCCUUGACUUUGGGAUAACUUCAGGAAACUGGGGCUAAUACCGGAUAGGAGCUCCUGCUGCAUGGUGGGGGUUGGAAAGUUUCGGCGGUUGGGGAUGGACUCGCGGCUUAUCAGCUUGUUGGUGGGGUAGUGCCUUACCAAGGCUUUGACGGGUAGCCGGCCUGAGAGGGUGACCGGCCACAUUGGGACUGAGAUACGGCCCAGACUCCUACGGGAGGCAGCAGUGGGGAAUAUUGCACAAUGGGCGGAAGCCUGAUGCAGCAACGCCGCGUGCGGGAUGACGGCCUUCGGGUUGUAAACCGCUUUCGCCUGUGACGAAGCGUGAGUGACGGUAAUGGGUAAAGAAGCACCGGCUAACUACGUG